rnacentral:tRNA from 1 species
GCGGGGAUGGUAUAGUGGCUAUUACCUCAGCCUUCCAAGCUGAAGAGGCGGGUUCGAUUCCCGCUACCCGCUCCA